rnacentral:sRNA from 1 species
CUAUAUCUACUUGUCUACUUUAUCAAAACACUAUAUAAUUAAAAUAAAGUACUCGCAACGGUAGGCCCCAGCAGAUAGGCGCUUCCAGCCACUUUUUCCACCGCAAGAAGCUCGAAGAGCACUCCAGAGACACAAUGUUCUCACUUUUCGCACCCAUCAACCUCGAAAACCCCCUUGUAUAGCUCAGAACCACUUAAAGCGUUUACACAGCAGAAACACCCCAACGCACAAGUCCCUUGACGAUGCUGUCGAUUUUGGCAUAUCUUUGGCAAGGUAAUUUACAAUGACGUCAGGAUGCACCCAGAUUUUGGGAUCCACCCGCAGCGGUGGGACACUAAGAUUGCAUGAGUAACCAUGUCCCUAUUAAGAUGAGAUUGGUUUUUAUUUCUUUGCAAAGACUUCUCUCAUCGUGAGUUUUGUUGUUUAUUUCCUUUGAGAUUAGCAUUUGAUUUAUCUAAAGGCCAAUUAGAUCUCCAUAUUAAAUCCGCGCCUGAACUUGCUUAGAAAAAUCUAUAUAAAUUCACAGAAGGAAUUUAUAUUCAAGAACGAGAAUAUCAUAUUAUGAUACCUGGCUUAUUUCAAUCGCCCUUGGCAAGAUCUAGUAGAUGCAAUGAAUAUUAACCUCGGAACGCCAUUGGAACACCUGGUCGACAAAAAAGAUUACCGCUCUAUAGGCAACCUAAAAUUUUGGCACUACUCCUGCAUCCCGAUUGUCCAUCCAUCUAUUUGCUUAGGCCAGAUCAUCGCAAAAUCAUUCGAAAUCAUCAAUUGAAUGGCCUAUGUCGUCUGACUUUAACCGGCUAACAGUUACAGGCGUAGCCUCCAGCGGAUUUACACCUCCCAUCAACGAUUUCCGGCGGAUAUGAUUAUCGAGCUUCUCACUCGUCUCCUCCGUGACAAAUUCUAUCGAGUUCGAUAUCUUGCUUUCGCUGCCAAUCCCUUGCGAUCCAAGAUAUUCGAUCUGCACGGUAUUCCGUAGAUUGUCAAUAAAUUGUUGCAUUUCUGGUAGAAGCGCCUUUCCUUCAUCCAAUACGUCGCUGUAUAGACGGUCGGAUUCUUCGAGGCAAAUACAUGCGAGGUUUGGUUUUCCUUGCUUGAGCCAUGACUCGGUAGCAAGAACGGCCCACAUUGCGGCUUUCCUUCGGCGUAUUCCCCAUUUUGCGGCACCAGAUCCGGUUUUAGACGCAUAGCAUGCAGACACUCUCUCGGAGACAAGAAUUCGACCGGUGUCACCCACAAGACCCAUAUCUAGGAUCCGUAUAGCCCAUUUUGCGGCAGCAUCAGAGGCAGAUCCUCCACGAGAUUUCAAGAGCUCCACGCCUAGGACAAGGGUUCGCAAAGCAUUUUGUGCAUCGGAGC